GACGAACGCUGGCGGCGUGCUUAACACAUGCAAGUCGAACGGAAAGGCCCUGCUUUUGUGGGGUGCUCGUGUGGCGAACGGGUGAGUAACACGUGAGUAUCCUGCCCUUGACUUUGGGAUAACUUCAGGAAACUGGGGCUAAUACCGGAUAGGAGCUCCUGCUGCAUGGUGGGGGUUGGAAAGUUUCGGCGGUUGGGGAUGGACUCGCGGCUUAUCAGCUUGUUGGUGGGGUAGUGGCUUACCAAGGCUUUGACGGGUAGCCGGCCUGGGAGGGUGACCGGCCACAUUGGGACUGCGGUACGGCCCAGACUCCUACGGGAGGCAGCAGUGGGGAAUAUUACGCAGUGGGCGGACGCCUGAUGCGGCGGCGCCGCGUGCGGGAUGACGGCCUUCGGGUUGUAAACCGCUUUCGCCUGUGACGAAGCGUGAGUGACGGUAAUGGGUAAAGAAGCACCGGCUAACUACGUG
rnacentral:rRNA from 1 species